rnacentral:ncRNA from 2 species
UGCUAUUCUGGUGAUGAAGCUCACCGUGCUCUUAUGCAGAACCGCCGCGCAGCGGGCGACUAAUGGCUUCUGAUAGUUC